GUACAUAACCCAGCUGUAGCAUCUAGGGUUUCAACGCAGACGCCGGCGGUGGAUGCCUUUCUUGCAGAGGAGAAAAAAUCAGAAGAGAUGUGAUGAUGAUAACAGAGGUGAGAAAACUCAUUGUCGAUUGUGUGAUGGUUUUAUAACCAUACCGCAAGAUGAGUCUCUUGUUCUGGUUCGUAUUCACUGAGCAUCUUCUUCUUUUCUCUGGAAAAAUUCAAUUAGAUAGGGAACGAAGGGACCUAUGGAGGGAGUGGUAUGAGAAAUGCACUCUUAUCCAAGUUUACCUUCGAAGAUUGGUGUCGAUGGAGGAUCUUGUGAACUGUGAUCUCAUUGAAAUGAUUGAGUUGUUAGAUCCAAUUUUUCGCACAAAUAAAAUGUUUUGUUUUGAAAUGUAAUAAUUUUAUGAGCGAAGGUCCCAGCAGAGAGGUAAAGACUCUGAAUUGAGGCCUCUCGAACUAGAAUACAAACCCUUCGCAGAUUAAUUAGCCGAAUCGUAGGAUGCUCAGAAUGAAUUUUCCAUAUUUGUGGCAUCUGGAACCCUUGGCUAUAUUUAUACUGAAUUAUUU
rnacentral:misc_RNA from 1 species